UGAGCAAUCUGCCCUUCUCAUCGGAAUAACCAUUGGAAACGAUGGCUAAUGCCGAAUAUGACCUCGGAACACAUGUUCUGAGGUGGAAAGCUCCGGCGGAGAAGGAUGAGCUCGCGGCCUAUCAGCCUGUUGGUGAGGUAAUGGCUCACCAAGGCAUUGACGGGUAGCCGGCCUGAGAGGGUGACCGGCCACACUGGGACUGAGACACGGCCCCAAAAUCCCGUAACGGGG
rnacentral:rRNA from 1 species